rnacentral:rRNA from 1 species
GACAGAGGGUGCAAACGUUGUUCGGAAUUACUGGGCGUAAAGCGCGUGUAGGCGGCCCGGAAAGUCGGAUGUGAAAGCCCUGGGCUUAACCUAGGAAGUGCAUUCGAAACUCCCGUGGCUUGAGUUCUGGAGAGGGAAGCGGAGUUCUCGGUGUAGAGGUGAAAUUCGUAGAUAUCGAGAGGAACACCGGUGGCGAAGGCGGCUUCCUGGACAGUGACUGACGCUGAGACGCGAAAGCGUGGGGAGCAAACAGG